CCUACGGGAGGCAGCAGUGGGGAAUAUUGCACAAUGGGCGAGACCCUGAUGCAGCGACGCCGCGUGAGUGAAGAAGUAUUUCGGUAUGUAAAGCUCUAUCAGCAGGGAAGAAAAUGACGGUACCUGAUUAAGAAGCCACGGCUAACUACGUGACAGCAGCCGCGGUAAUACGUAGGGAGCAAGCGUUAUCCGGAUUUACUGGGUGUAAAGGGAGCGUAGACGGGAGGACAAGUCUGGAGUGAAAUGCCGGGGCUUAACCCCGGAACUGCUUUGGAAACUGUGCAGCUAGAGUGCAGGAGAGGUAAGUGGAAUUCGUGGUGUAGCGGUGAAAUGCGUAGAUAUUACGAGGAACACCGAUUGCGAAGGCAGCUUACUGGACUGUAACUGACGUUGAGGCUCGAAAGCGUGGGGAGCAAACAGGAUUAGAUACCCCAGUAGUC
rnacentral:rRNA from 1 species